AACGAACGCUGGCGGCAUGCCUAACACAUGCAAGUCGAACGAGACCUUCGGGUCUAGUGGCGCACGGGUGCGUAACACGUGGGAAUUUGCCUCGGGGUAUGGAAUAACUCAGGGAAACUUGAGCUAAUACCAUAUAAUGUCUUCGGACCAAAGAUUUAUCGCCCUGAGAUAAGCCCGCGUAGGAUUAGCUAGUUGGUGAGGUAAAGGCUCACCAAGGCGACGAUCCUUAGCUGGUCUGAGAGGAUGAUCAGCCACACUGGGACUGAGACACGGCCCAGACUCCUACGGGAGGCAGCAGUGGGAAUAUUGGACAAUGGGCGAAAGCCUGAUCCAGCAAUGCCGCGUGAGUGAUGAAGGCCUUCGGGUU
rnacentral:rRNA from 1 species